GAUGAACGCUAGCGGGAGGCUUAACACAUGCAAGUCGAGGGGCAGCAUAGGGUAGCAAUACUCUGAUGGCGACCGGCAAACGGGUGAGUAACGCGUAUGCAACCUACCCUGUACAGGGGGAUAACCCGGAGAAAUUCGGACUAAUAUCCCGUAAUAAUAUCCGGAGGCAUCUUUGGAUAUUUAAAGUUCCGACGGUACGGGAUGGGCAUGCGUAACAUUAGCUGGUUGGUAAGGUAACGGCUUACCAAGGCUAUGAUGUUUAGGGGUCCUGAGAGGGUGGUCCCCCACACUGGUACUGAGACACGGACCAGACUCCUACGGGAGGCAGCAGUGAGGAAUAUUGGUCAAUGGGCGCAAGCCUGAACCAGCCAUCCCGCGUGCAGGAAGACGGCCCUAUGGGUUGUAAACUGCUUUUCCAGGGAGAGAAACUUACGCACGUGUUGCGUGACUGACGGUACCCUGGGAAUAAGCAUCGGCUAACUCCGUGCCAGCAGCCGCGGUAAAGUGUGU
rnacentral:rRNA from 1 species